rnacentral:tRNA from 1 species
CGCGGGAUGGAGCAGUGGCAGCUCGUCGGGCUCAUAACCCGAAGGUCGUUGGUUCGAGUCCAACUCCCGCUACCA